UCAUAUGAAUGCGAAUUUUUCGUGGUUUAAGCAACGAUGACUUUCUAAGGUACUUUUAGUACUUAUUAGAACGCUUACUAUAACGGAUGAGCACGUGGAAGAAGUGAGACUCGUGUGCGCUGUUAAAGGACCGACAAUAAUGGUUUCCGUUAACCGUGCGUAAUUUGUAAACAAAACUGACUUUGCACCAAAAUUUACGAAAAUUUAUUGAUGGUGUACUUAUAGAUGCAAAAUGAAGAGCGGUGUUUUCCAAAUUCAUUGUAUUUAAUUUGUUAGUACGAACGAGUGUGCCGCCUCGACAGUCUUGAGGCAGCGGAAGUAAUAUAGAAAAUACUAUUAAAUAAAAUGACUGGAUUUUCCACUGUUAUUUAAAAUAAAUAAGAAUGCUGAUAUAGUGUUGUGAACAAGAUUUAUCAUUAAUUCAAAUAAUGUUCACCAUGAAAACUAAUAUGCUGAUAUGAAAUGAGAACAAAACAAUCCGUGUAAUAUUGAAUGCCAAACGAAAUACAUAAAGUAAGUACAAAUCUAUAUCUUGUGUAGUACAUGGAAACAUGAUGCACUUACCGUUCAGUUAUUUGCCGACAGGUGAAAAUCGAAGGUCUCACAGCCGAAAUAAAAAUUUUACGUCGACGAACGAAGGUUGAAUUACACAAAGUGGCUGAUAGCAACACCAUGGUGAAACUGACUGAAUAGAGUAAUGAUGCUGGCCGCCGAGUGCGUCCGUUUACCGGCACUUGUGGAUUCAAGAGAAGCACACACAAAUCGUCUCUCGAAGAACUGUACAUUAUGUGGUAGCAACCGUCAUUGUAUGACAAUGACAACUUUCAGCAUUACUGCAAGGACUUGGUCGUCUUAUUGCCCGAGAUGUCGGGCAUCAAUUGGGAAUAUUUACGUAUAUUCGCCAUGUAAAAUGCAUACGUUUGCAGAAAUUUGUACAGGCAAGAGUUUAAUUGCUGCUAUUGGCGCACCCGACAACAAAUAGUCAAAAGCCGGCAUUGUAUCUAUUCCUCAUUGGUUGACGAUUGCCGUUUGCAUCAUUGCGCUCGUUUACUUUAUAAUUUACAUACAAUUUGAUUUUUGCGCUACUGUGCAACCACUGUAAAGAAAUAGCGUAUCAAGGAGAUGAAUCUCAUUGGCGGCAACAAUGUGGCCGCUGACACCGGACACGGCAAUACCAGCAUCACCUAUCAGAGAGGAAAAUUGGGACAAUUUAAGUUUUAAAUUUAUAGGCAUUGAUGUACAAGCAUACAUACACAGGCAUAGUAUGUGCGUAUUUAUGUAUGAACAUAUACUUGUAGACAUAUCUUCGUUGAAAGAAGUUAUAUUUAUUAUAUGUGAAUUAAUUAGUUUUUAAUUAAAACAAUUUUUGCAAUAAAUAACGCCCAUGUGUGACUUUAAGAUUCAAUAGAGUGUACAACUAACAGAUUGGCAUAGAAAUCCAGUACCAACAACAACAAAAAAAAAACAAAGCAAUGCAUGUUAAAUAUUUUCAAGUCAACAUUUAGCUAAGAUUAUAAACACAUACAUAAGUUGUUUGUAAUAUUUGAAUAAAAAACAUGUAAGGAAGAACUA